GACGAACGCUGGCGGCGUGCUUAACACAUGCAAGUCGAGCGGAGCGGCGAACGGGUGAGUAACGCGUGAGUAACUGCCCCCCUCUCUGGGAUAACAGUUGGAAACGGCUGCUAAUACCGGAUAGUGGGGGAUGACUCGCCUCCUAUCAGCUUGUGGGGGGGGUAGUGGCCUACCAAGGCGACGACGGGUAGCCGGCCUGAGAGGGCGACCGGCCACAGUGGGCUGAGAAACGGCCCAAAGUCCAACGGGAGGCAGCAGGGGGGAAUAGUGCGAAAUGGGGGAAACCCUGAUGAAGCAACGCCGCGUGCGGGAGGACGGCCGUCGGGUUGUAAACCGCUUUCAGCCAUGAAGCGGUAGUGGCAGAAGAAGCACCGGCUAACUACGUGCCAGCAGCCGCGGUAAUUC
rnacentral:rRNA from 1 species